rnacentral:rRNA from 1 species
GACGAACGCUGGCGGCGUGCUUAACACAUGCAAGUCGAACGGAAAGGCCCUGCUUUUGUGGGGUGCUCGAGUGGCGAACGGGUGAGUAACACGUGAGUAACCUGCCCUUGACUUUGGGAUAACUGCAGGAAACUGGGGCUAAUACCGGAUAGGAGCUCCUGCUGCAUGGUGGGGGUUGGAAAGUUUCGGCGGUUGGGGAUGGACUGGCGGCUUAUCAGCUUGUUGGUGGGGUAGUGGCUUACCAAGGCUUUGACGGGUAGCCGGCCUGAGAGGGUGACCGGCCACAUUGGGACUGAGAUACGGGCCAGACUCCUACGGGAGGCAGCAGUGGGGAAUAUUGCACAAUGGGCGGAAGCCUGAUGCAGCAACGCCGCGUGCGGGAUGACGGCCUUCGGGUUGUAAACCGCUUUCGCCUGUGACGAAGCGUGAGUGACGGUAAUGGGUAAAGAAGCACCGGCUAACUACGUG